AGUGAACGCUGGCGGCGUGCCUAAUACAUGCAAGUCGAACGAUGAAGCUUUUAGCUUGCUAGAAGUGGAUUAGUGGCGCACGGGUGAGUAAGGUAUAGUUAAUCUGCCCUACACUGGGGGACAACACUUAGAAAUGAGUGCUAAUACCCCAUACUCCUAUUUAACAUAAGUUAGGUAGGGAAAGUUUUUCGGUGUAGGAUGAGACUAUAUAGUAUCAGCUAGUUGGUAAGGUAAAGGCUUACCAAGGCUAUGACGCUUAACUGGUCUGAGAGGAUGAUCAGUCACACUGGAACUGAGACACGGUCCAGACUCCUACGGGAGGCAGCAGUAGGGAAUAUUGCGCAAUGGGGGAAACCCUGACGCAGCAACGCCGCGUGGAGGAUGACACUUUUCGGAGCGUAAACUCCUUUUCUUUGGGAAGAAUUUUGACGGUACCAAAGGAAUAAGCACCGGCUAACUCCGUGCCAGCAGCCGCGGUAAUACGGAGGGUGYAAGCGUUACUCGGAAUCACUGGGCGUAAAGGGCGCGUAGGCGGAUUAUCAAGUCUCUUGUGAAAUCUAAUGGCUUAACCAUUAAACUGCUUGGGAAACUGAUAGUCUAGAGUGAGGGAGAGGCAGAUGGAAUUGGUGGUGUAGGGGUAAAAUCCGUAGAUAUCACCAAGAAUACCCAUUGCGAAGGCGAUCUGCUGGAACUCAACUGACGCUAAGGCGCGAAAGCGUGGGGAGCAAACAGGAUUAGAUACCCUGGUAGUCCACGCCCUAAACGAUGUAUGCUAGUUGUUGGGGUGCUAGUCAUCUCAGUAAUGCAGCUAACGCAUUAAGCAUACCGCCUGGGGAGUACGGUCGCAAGAUUAAAACUCAAAGGAAUAGACGGGGACCCGCACAAGCGGUGGAGCAUGUGGUUUAAUUCGAAGAUACGCGAAGAACCUUACCUAGGCUUGAUAUCCAACAAAUUCUGUAGAGAUACGGAAGUGCUAGCUUGCUAGAAUGUUGAGACAGGUGCUGCACGGCUGUCGUCAGCUCGUGUCGUGAGAUGUUGGGUUAAGUCCCGCAACGAGCGCAACCCUCGUCCUUAGUUGCUAACGAUUCGGUCGAGCACUCUAAGGAGACUGCCUUCGUAAGGAGGAGGAAGGUGGGGACGACGUCAAGUCAUCAUGGCCCUUACGCCUAGGGCGACACACGUGCUACAAUGGCAUAUACAAUGAGACGCAAUACCGCGAGGUGGAGCAAAUCUAUAAAAUAUGUCCCAGUUCGGAUUGUUCUCUGCAACUCGAGAGCAUGAAGCCGGAAUCGCUAGUAAUCGCAAAUCAGCCAUGUUGCGGUGAAUACGUUCCCGGGUCUU
rnacentral:rRNA from 1 species